ACCAUGCAGUCGAACGGCAGCACAGAGGAGCUUGCUCCUUGGGUGGCGAGUGGCGGACGGGUGAGGAAUACAUCGGAAUCUACUUUUUCGUGGGGGAUAACGUAGGGAAACUUACGCUAAUACCGCAUACGACCUACGGGUGAAAGCAGGGGACCUUCGGGCCUUGCGCGAUUGAAUGAGCCGAUGUCGGAUUAGCUAGUUGGCGGGGUAAAGGCCCACCAAGGCGACGAUCCGUAGCUGGUCUGAGAGGAUGAUCAGCCACACUGGAACUGAGACACGGUCCAGACUCCUACGGGAGGCAGCAGUGGGGAAUAUUGGACAAUGGGCGCAAGCCUGAUCCAGCCAUACCGCGUGGGUGAAGAAGGCCUUCGGGUUGUAAAGCCCUUUUGUUGGGAAAGAAAUCCAGCUGGCUAAUACCCGGUUGGGAUGACGGUACCCAAAGAAUAAGCACCGGCUAACUUCGUGCCAGCAGCCGCGGUAAUACGAAGGGUGCAAGCGUUACUCGGAAUUACUGGGCGUAAAGCGUGCGUAGGUGGUCGUUUAAGUCCGUUGUGAAAGCCCUGGGCUCAACCUGGGAACUGCAGUGGAUACUGGGCGACUAGAGUGUGGUAGAGGGUAGCGGAAUUCCUGGUGUAGCAGUGAAAUGCGUAGAGAUCAGGAGGAACAUCCAUGGCGAAGGCAGCUACCUGGACCAACACUGACACUGAGGCACGAAAGCGUGGGGAGCAAACAAGAUUAGAUACCCUGGUAGUCCACGCCCUAAACGAUGCGAACUGGAUGUUGGGUGCAAUUUGGCACGCAGUAUCGAAGCUAACGCGUUAAGUUCGCCGCCUGGCGAGUACGGUCGCAAGACUGAAACUCAAAGGAAUUGACGGGGCCCGCACAGCGUGGAGUAUGUGGUUUAUUCGAUGCUACGCGAGACCUUACCUGGUCUUGACAUGUCGA
rnacentral:rRNA from 1 species